UCAAAAGUAAACAUCUACAAAAGAUAACAAUAUCUAUAUAAGGCAGUCUUCAAUUGCAUCCUAACUCAGGAAGGAACUAUUUGCAAGAUGCCUAUUUGCUUAUUGUUCUUGUCCUUACUUGCCUUGCCUCUUUUGCUAGUGCUGAAUUUGAUUGUGAUACCUGUGUGUCCUUUAUAGACAGAUUGAAAAGCCGAUGGAUCAGUGCUCAACAUAUUUAUGAAGAACAGAUUCCAGUUCUUGUUGGCUCUGUCUGAAGACGUAUCUGGAUGUGAAACCGGAGUAAAUAACUGGUGGGAGGGGAUUGCUUCAGCCAUGUAUCCUGCUGUGACCAAUGCUUUUGCUGAACCAGCUUGCAGUAAUCUUAUUGAAGGAUGCACAGAGAAGAAACAGUUUGUCAAAGAACCAUGACUGUGAGAACUGUAUCACUGUUAUCAAUUUUAUUGCUGAUUUAGCAGGUUUAGAUGGUUAUGAAGUUGGAAUUGCUCAAACUGUUGAUUUCUUAAAGGGAGAUGGAUAUUGUCGUGGGAACGUGGAUGCUGUGGCUAUGUUGAAGCGAUAUCCCAGUUGCUUUACCUGUUCUAGCCUCUGUUUUCAAUGAAAGAGCAGAAACCCUCUGCUGUGAGUUGAAUGAUGAAGGAUUUUGCUGUUAAUCUAUGUUGAUGGUUUAAACAUGAAUUAUUGGUGUUAAAAUAGAUCACACAUCUAAUAAUUUAAUAUGGUAUUUAUUUACUAACAAGAUUAAAUAUACGUUGAAAGAUAUAAAAAUGUAGAAUGAUGAGGA